GAGUCAGUUGAGUGUCGCCUUUUGGCGAU
rnacentral:sRNA from 1 species